rnacentral:piRNA from 1 species
AACAAAAGGACUAGUGUUCUAGAAGA